rnacentral:rRNA from 1 species
UGGCUCAGGAUGAACGCUGGCGGCGUGCCUAAUACAUGCAAGUCGAACGAGAGUGCUUGCACCCUAGUGGCGAACGGGUGAGUAACACGUAGGUAACCUGCCUUACAGUUGGGAUACCCUGGCGAAAGCUAGGCUAAUACCGAAUAAUUGGAUUGGAGGCAUCUCCGAUCUCUAAAAGGGGCCUUUAAAGCCUCGCUGAAUGAUGGACCUGCGGCGCAUUAGCUAGUUGGUGAGAUAACAGCCCACCAAGGCGAGGAUGCGUAGCCGACCUGAGAGGGUGAACGGCCACACUGGAACUGAGACACGGUCCAGACUCCUACGGGAGGCAGCAGUAGGGAGUUUUCGGCAAUGGGGGCAACCCUGACCGAGCAACGCCGCGUGAAUGAUGAAGGUCUUCGGAUUGUAAAGUUCUGUUAUAAGGGAAAAAUGAUAUGGUGAGGAAAUGCUCCAUAUUUGAUGGUACCUUAUUAGGAAGCCACGGCUAACUACGUGCCAGCAGCCGC